UACGGCCGCGAUGUACUGUGCGAACGACCGUUUAUACUUGUACGACUGUGCCUUUAUUCCUAUUCAUCUCUACGUUUUUUAUUCAGCAAUCAGUCUCUAUGAUAUGCUAACAAUGCUUUAUAUCUGCCUUCUCCUACGCCCUGGACAUUUAUGACAUUACGUCAUUUGUUGAUGGUGAUUUUUACGUCAUUUGUUGACGAUGAAUGUUUUCUGAACUUUAGUGCGAGAAAACUUGCUCUAAAGCAGACGUGAUGUCUUUGGCAACUAUUCAAUACUUGAAAAAACGGUAUUAUGAUUCCAAAAAAAAUGUGCCCAUUGCAAGCGUUCGAACUAAAUUGGCGAUCAAUGUUCAAAUUAAGUUUAACCGCAUCUAUUUUCCAACACGCCGCAUUGUUUCUGUGUGUGACAUUGCUUAAAUUAUAUUUCUAUCAGAUAGAUUUGAUCUCGAAAUUCUUUUUCUACGUCAGUAUAACGGCAUAUAAUGGUGAUAACCAUCCUUUUGAUGCCUCUAACCUGCACAGUUUCCCCUGAACGACGGGCUAGCAAUUGAUGUAAAAGCAUAAUUGUAAUAAGUGAUGAAACCUGCUGGGCACAUUGUGCGAUUUGAAUUAAAUUGUAAAGGGAAAGGCAAAGCAGCUUACUGUGGGGCUUGUAGGGGUUCGAGAAGUAAUUACUUUAUAUACAAUUACUUUAUUUUAUUUUUAUGUUGCCUCAUACAUGGCUCCUCGUGAAGAAUCUAAAAUAUAAUCUGUAAUUUCGUUGUGAGGUUCAUCAUACACUUCACUGUAAAUAUAUAUGUGUUUUACGACUGGAAACGUAAUUGGAAUUUGUUAUUUAUUUUUUCAAAUUGGUUAUUUAGUUAUUGAGUGCAUUGCUAAAGUAAUGAAUGAUGCCUGAGUAACCUUGUGUGACAGAAACGUUUAAUAAAGUGCACUCUGAACAUGUAACGCGGUAGUACCCAUUAAGCUCUUUGUAUGUACACAUUGUCCGUUGAAUUAAUUAUAAAGACCACAUUAACAAUUAGCUUCCAUUCGAAGCUCACUAGUAGGGAAAUCUAUCUAACAGACGUUCACGAUACUCGUUUACUUCUAGUACAGACUCGACUAUCUGAAGAGUGAGUAAAGUUUCUUUCCGUUGAAAACACAACGGAAAAGGUCGUAAAACAAUCUUAACAAAUGUUUAAGCGAUUGGAAAAUUCGUGGAUGUAAUCAGUUUCAUGACCGCCUGAAAACUUGAAUUCUAAUUUACAUCUUGCAUUAUGAAACGUGUCUCUGUUCUAUGUCGAUCUAAGAGAUGUACUUCGAAUAGACGUUUUGAAAACGAGUUCGUUCUACUUGUCAGUAACAUGCAGGCGGCAUCUAUUGACUUCUUGCAUUGAGCUUCACUUUAUCGUAUCUAAUAUGAUGAAGAUACACAAGUAGCCUAUGACCUCAAGUCUAGAUCAAGACAACUAACUUUUUCGUCUGUGAAUAACUCACAAAGUGCUCCUGAGGGUUUACAGCACAUGCAUUCAUUACGGUUAUCACCAUAGCUAAACCUGGCUUAGCGUCGACGCGAUUAAAUGUUGCGUGCUACAGCAAGUCAUCUGCACUUGGCCACCUAUUGUAAUUGUAUCGGCAUUUUCUGUGCGUUAAAUUGAUGGCUUUAUAGUGUGUCAGACGCACGAGUUUGUAAUUAUGUACCUUAAAUAACAUCUGGAUUGUCGUAAUAUCUAUUCACAAGCGUCCUUCUCAACGCCCCAGUUGUGGGUCGUAGUUCACUUUCGUAGGAUUACGGAUUGAGUCUGAAUUUAAGAUAUCCAUAAUGGUUUAAAUAAGAUUAAAAGCUAAGCAACUUCAAGCAUGUGAGUCAAAGUAUAGUGGUGGUUCAGACCCAUACCACAGUCAGGAAAUAUAAUUUUCUUGUAUAGAGCACUGUCCCAGUUUUCUAUUCUGCAACAGUGAAUGAAUGUCAACUAUAAUUGUUAGAUCCAUAAAGGUUUAAAUAAGGUUAAAAGCUAAGAAACUUCAAGCAUGUGGUUCAAAGUAUGUUUCUUAGGUGGACUAUGCCCACCCGUAUUUUACUUUUAAUUACUAAUCAGCUAAUGGUUUCAUAUAGUCAAACACGAUACAUGAUGUUAUACAUCAACUGUAGGUGAAGGCCCGAGCCUUAUUCAUCGUGUCUCCAGACAUACCACAGGCUGUUCUCCUGUGGACUCAUCAAGUGUUCAUGACAUACGCAGUAAUAUUUCUUACGACUACCAGAUAUGGCGCUUUUACUACUGGUGUUUUCGGCACUGCCAAAAAAAUAGUACUGUGGUUGUAUUAUUACAAAAUUAUACUAUGACUACUCAUACGUGCAGGACGUGACUACGCACUUCUCGGAUAUAAAAUAUUUUUGAGGAAUUUGAUCUUCGUUUUAUAUAUAUUUUUUAUCAAAAAACUGAUCAAAUACAUUGGCAUGUGAGUCUGUGAGAUAAGGACUAUGACGAGCAGUGGACUGUCAGUUUUUCGUACAAGUCGUCUUACGUUCACCCAUGAGGACUGAUUUUCCUUUCCAUUAAUGAUGAAAUUUAUUCCUGCCUUCAUCGUAUAAUUAAUAUAUCGUUUGGUAAAGUCAAGAGAUAAAUGUUCAAGUGAGUUCUCUUUAAUAUUUUUAGCUACUAUUUGCGACAUGCCGUUACUUCACGAAACUUUUAGUUUCCGACCGAAAUUUUCGCGUCGAAUGUUGGAUUUGCGAAUGGAAUAUCGCACGGAAACUUUCAAUUUUCCACUUCUUCAACGCUGCGUCACCAUUUCAACCAAAAAAUUUUAGAAUAAAUCGAUGAGGUAAAAAAAAUUAUUAUGUCAAUUAUUUUUAGCGACAGAAGCUUGCGUGCGCAAGUGGGUAAAUCAACGUGACUCUUCGAUCACUUUUCUAUGGCAAUUUAGUAUUCUAUCGAAUUAUCUGCUGUCAAGUAGGACCCAGUUUUUCAUUCCCAAAAAUAUACUCUCUUCUAAUG